rnacentral:rRNA from 1 species
AUUGAACGCUGGCGGCAUGCCUUACACAUGCAAGUCGAACGGUAACAGGUCUUCGGAUGCUGACAAGUGGCGAACGGGUGAGUAAUACAUCGGAACGUGCCUAGUAGUGGGGGAUAACUACUCGAAAGAGUGGCUAAUACCGCAUGAGAUCUACGGAUGAAAGCAGGGGAUCGCAAGACCUUGUGCUACUAGAGCGGCCGAUGGCAGAUUAGGUAGUUGGUGGGAUAAAAGCUUACCAAGCCGACGAUCUGUAGCUGGUCUGAGAGGACGAUCAGCCACACUGGGACUGAGACACGGCCCAGACUCCUACGGGAGGCAGCAGUGGGGAAUUUUGGACAAUGGGCGAAAGCCUGAUCCAGCAAUGCCGCGUGCAGGAUGAAGGCCUUCGGGUUGUAAACUGCUUUUGUGCGGAGCGAAAAGCCCCGGGUUAAUACCCUGGGGUCAUGACGGUACCGUAAGAAUAAGCACCGGCUAACUACGUGCCAGCCGCCGCCGUAA